rnacentral:lncRNA from 1 species
GAACUCUCCUAGAUGCUGCUAGCAUGGCAGCAGGAGUUUCCUCUCCCAACUUUUCAGCUCCAGCCAAGUGGCAACGGGAUAUUUUGUCGCAGCUAAACCUGUAUGGGGAGGGUGCUAUUCUAAAGGUUUUCCGCACAUUCUUACUGAUUCUAUUAUUUCUUAGGAUAUUUUGUCGCAGCUAAACCUGUAUGGGGAGGGUGCUAUUCUAAAGGUUUUGCGCACAUUCUUACUGAUUCUAUUAUUUCUUUGCAAUCGACUGUUGAAUUCAUGUCAUGUAGUAUCGAUGCAGCAAUAUGAACCUGUCUGGUUUUCUAUGGGCA